GAGGGUGUAACUCAGUAGUGGAGUGCAUGCUUAGCAUGCGUGCAUCCAUGGGUUCAAUCCCCAGUACCUCCA
rnacentral:tRNA from 1 species